rnacentral:rRNA from 1 species
AUUGAACGCUGGCGGCAGGCCUAACACAUGCAAGUCGAGCGGAUGAAGGGAGCUUGCGCCUGGAUUCAGCGGCGGACGGGUGAGUAAUGCCUAGGAAUCUGCCUGGUAGUGGGGGAUAACGUCCGGAAACGGGCGCUAAUACCGCAUACGUCCUGAGGGAGAAAGUGGGGGAUCUUCGGACCUCACGCUAUCAGAUGAGCCUAGGUCGGAUUAGCUAGUUGGUGGGGUAAAGGCCUACCAAGGCGACGAUCCGUAACUGGUCUGAGAGGAUGAUCAGUCACACUGGAACUGAGACACGGUCCAGACUCCUACGGGAGGCAGCAGUGGGGAAUAUUGGACAAAGGGCGAAAGCCUGAUCCAGCCAUGCCGCGUGUGUGAAGAAGGUCUUCGGAUUGUAAAGCACUUUAAGUUGGGAGGAAGGGCAGUAAGUUAAUACCUUGCUGUUUUGACGUUACCAACAGAAUAAGCACCGGCUAACUUCGUG